rnacentral:rRNA from 1 species
UAACGGCCCACCUAGUCAACGAUGGAUAGGGGUUCUGAGAGGAAGGUCCCCCACAUUGGAACUGAGACACGGUCCAAACUCCUACGGGAGGCAGCAGUGAGGAAUAUUGGUCAAUGGACGAAAGUCUGAACCAGCCAUGCCGCGUGCAGGAAGACUGCCCUACGGGUUGUAAACUGCUUUUAUAUAGGAAUAAACCCUCGUUCGUGAACGAGGCUGAAGGUACUAUAAGAAUAAGGACCGGCUAACUCCGUGCCAGCAGCCGCGGUAAUACGGAGG